ensembl:lncRNA
AGAAGCUGUGCGCUGCAGACAGGCGGGGCCUCCCCAGAAGGGCCAGGGGUUCGCCUGGGGCUGCCUGCAAGCUGCGCUCUCUCCUUGGAGGGCUGUUGUAACCUGUCAGACAGACGCAGAGCGGGAGGUGGAUGAACAGGCCUUCCCCACGCCUCUUCCCUGAUUCCCCGCCCCUGCUUCUGCUGGAGCCCACCUCCCAUCUGGCCACUGCCUGCUCCAAAGCGUUCUGUGGCUCUCCAGUACAGAGAGCAUUCUGACAAAUCUAUAGGAUGUGGCUGCCUCUGGGACCUGGCCUCCCUCUCCAGCCCCACUCUCUGCCCUCUGGCUACACGCAGCUCCUUCUCGGCAGGGCCCCCUCCUCGUCCUCACUCUUGCUGCUCCCUUCACUUGCAAUGCCCUUUCCGCCCCAUCUCAGCCUGUUCAAAUCCCACCACCAGAGGCUGGAGAAGGCUUGAAAUAGCCGCUGUGGACAAAGGGGAAAUGUGUUAACUAGGUCAGUGCAUUUGGAGUUGGGGUCAGUGUUAGCUGUCUGAGUGUGGCAGGAAAGGGUAGUGACAACAAUUUGCACUGCUGUGUGUCUUUCUUCUUCAACAGCGCUUGGCCACUUGGUCUAGGCAUCAAAAAAUGCAGAGUUGGGGGACUGGCCCUGUGACCAAGUGGUUAAGUUCACACACUCCACUUUGGAGGCCCUGGGUUCACCGGUUAGGAUCCCAGGCGUGGACCUAGGCACCGCUCAUCAAGCCAUGCUGUGGCAGGUGUCCCACAUAUAAAGUAGAGGAAGAUGGGCACAGAUGUUAGCUCAGGGCCAGUCUUCCUCAGCAAAAAGAGGAGGAUUGUCGGCAGAUGUUAGCCCAGGGCUGGUCUUCCUCAAAAACAUAGAAAAUGCAGAGUCGGGUUCAUCCAUCAGUGAAUUCUUUUUAGAUUUGGUGCAAAGAAAAAAGGCCCCAGGUCUGGGGUAUUAGCAAGAGUGUUACUGAAGUGAUGGACCGUGGAUAAGGAGGGAAGUAAAGAAGAGAGCUUCCGGACUGGGAGGAAGCAGAGAGGUCAGCUCACGGAAAGACCCGGUGAGGUCAGAACCUGUUGACCGGGGCACGGAUCACACAGACAAGCUGGAAGGCAGGUGUCUGGAGGCAGAGAGUCGGGGUCUGAAUCGUUGAUUUUGAAGGUGCAGCCAUGCCAGGUGGUGGCAGGGUCCAAGGCGGGAUUGUGGGAGUGGCUGCUAAAGGGGGUGGAGACAGUGAGCGGUGAUGACAGUGGUGUUGGACAGCCAUCUGCAUGGUCCCAGAAGUCAUCAGGACCCCUCACCCCCCACCCCGGGCUCGAGCUGGAGGGGAGGACUGCCAUCCCGAGAGCAAAGAUGCGGACGAGUACCGAGGAUGGUGGGAGGUAGGACAGCACUCGGCAGACGCUCUCCACAGGGCAGGCGGUAGACAUUUCGGAGUUGUCAGUCCGUGUGGUCUCUGUCUCAACGACUCAGCUCCGCCUGCAGAGCAGAAGCAGCCACAGCAACACGGAAAGAACGGGCCUGAUGAGGAAAUGGAAGCACAGAGAGGUUGAUUGUCUUACCCAAGGUCACACAGCAUUAACUGGAAGAGGACUUGUCGCUGAAGUUGCUCUAGUCUCUCUCUGCUGUUGCGGGGUGGUUAUCGUUCGGGCUCCAGAUUGCAGGACCUUAAGAACACAUCCAACUCUGAAGGGAAAGAAUCCACGUCCCCCAGAGAUUCUAAACUCAGGUAAUCGUUCCUCCCACCAGCUCUCCUCCCUGCCCCCCACCCGCUGAGCUCCAGAGCUGGCUGCCAAACACAGGCCUGACCCAUCAGAGCACCACAUUCUCCUGACCACAGAGACUUGUUCAGGGGUGGACACGUGACAUCAGAA